rnacentral:rRNA from 1 species
AUACGGAGGAUCCAAGCGUUAUCCGGAAUCAUUGGGUUUAAAGGGUCCGUAGGUGGAUAAUUAAGUCAGAGGUGAAAUCCUGCAGCUCAACUGUAGAAUUGCCUUUGAUACUGGUUAUCUUGAGUUAUUAUGAAGUAGUUAGAAUAUGUAGUGUAGCGGUGAAAUGCAUAGAUAUUACAUAGAAUACCAAUUGCGAAGGCGGAUUACUAAUAAUAUACUGACACUGAUGGACGAAAGCGUGGGGAGCGAACAGGAUUAGAUACCCUAGUAGUCC